rnacentral:lncRNA from 1 species
CUUGGUACAAUUAAAAACCUGAUAAUAAAUUGUUCAAAUAAGGCCUUCGAAAAUAGUGAAAUAAAUUACUUUUGGAGUGUCAAGAACUCGUUGGAAGUACUUGAUAAAUUGCAUGCUUAUAUUGGUGAUUUUGAAUCUGUUCAAAGUUUUGAUUUUUCUACCCUGUAUACCACAUUGCCUCACAUUCUCAAUAGAAAAAAUUCACACACCUAAUUAAAUGGGCAUUCAAAAAAUCAGAAUGUGAAUAUAUAUGUUCAAACUCUUUUAGGUCAUUUUUUAGUAGCAAUAAACAAAAAACUAUGUUAAUUGGACAUGCUUUGAUACUAUAUAUGCCCUUGAAUUUUUACUAGAUAACAUUUUUGUUCGCUUUGGGGAUUCCGUAUAUCGUCAGAUUAUCGGAAUUCCAAUGGGGACUAACUGUGCACCACUUAUUGCGGAC